rnacentral:lncRNA from 1 species
GGGGGACUUGGAAGAAUGCUAAUUCUUGGGCUUCCUCCCAGACAAACUGAACUGGAAACUGAGGGUAGGGCCCAGAAAAGUGUGUUUUAAUAUGCCCGCCAGGAGCUUGUAAUGCAGGCCAAUGUUUGGAGAACACUGGGUUAGAGUAACACCAGCUGCUGUAUAAAGAUGGCCUAACCAAAAAAAAAAGUGUUACUUUUUGGGCACACAACAGUCCAAGGCAGAUAUUCUGGGCCUGUGGGCACCUUUCCUCUUAUUUGAAAGCAAGCAGCCCUCCAAGUAGCUAAGCAAUCCCGUAGAAAGGGGGAAGACAAUAUUUAGUAGAUAUGAUUGUUGCCUGGAAUUCUAAAUGUUGUCACCACCUAGCACCACAUACCAAUGUCUGUGAGGGUGUCUAGCAUUGAGGGAGAGGUCAAGGGAUGAGAAUUUGGGAGGAAUUAAUCCUGUGCCCAUAAGAAACAUUCACAUGUAAGACAGGACAAACAGAAUAGAUAAAAGUUCCGAGAGAAGUGAUGCAUACCGACUACAAAAGAGAGGCCCAGGGAGUGGCAUUUUGCUUUUAUUUCUGAGCUGGUACAAACAUUAAGAACUUGGGUGACAGACUCCCUUUCCCACAGAAGGCCUCCUCAAGCUAAGCAAGAAGGUAGCUCACCUGAACUCGUUCUGUUUGUCCCUCAGCCCUGGCUGCCCAGGCCUACGCUCUGAAAGAGGAGAAUGACAGUCUCCGCUGGCAGCUGGAUGCCUACAGGAAUGAGGUGGAGCUGCUGAAACAAGAAAAAGAACAGCUUUUCCGAACAGAAGAAAACCUCACCAAGGACCAGCAACUGCAGUUUCUGCAGCAAACCAUGCAAGGCAUGC